GUGGUUGAGCGUUGUGCUUUGCAUUCUUCGGGUGUUUGUACCCCACUCUGCCGGCCGCUAAAUGCCCGAAUUGUGGGCAAUAUCUUGUUAAAAGCAUGAAUUAUUAAGUGGUUAAGCGUGCAGGUAGCACCUCUUCAGCUCAACUGGGAAAGCAGUUUGGCACAUUACAUCUACGAGAAAUGCAGAGAACCAACACCCACUUCUCUGUAUUUAUCUGUCAGUAUUCACUAACCUCUUAUAGACAAACAGAGACAGAAGUUUUGGGAAGAAGGGGAGGAAAGGGACAAUUGAGUGUCUCAGUUACCUGAGCAUCAACAACUAUGCUGACUGGAGUGAUCUUCCACCAGUGAAAUGUAUAUGGCAGUAGAAGAACUGUAACUUAAUCAUAGGAUCUUGACACACCCAUGACCUUACAUUCGUUACGCAAGUGAAUUUCACAGUUGAAUUAUUCCUCGUGUUUCAUCCAUUAAUCUGUGGAGCCCAAUGGUAUGAAUAGAACAUGGACAGACCUGAGUGGAGUUGGCACUGUAUGUUGAUGCCUCCUUUGAGAUAAAUAAUGAUCUUUUUUUGGCAUGUUUACUGUCUGGUUAGCUCUUGGUGCAUUCCUAUAAAUAAGGUAUUUGAAUACUUCUUUUUUUAAGCUGUAAUUUUUUUAGAUGUUCAGCAAUAAACAUUUUCUGCCAGCUGUAUGCUUUCAGGAGCUCGGCUUCAAUUUCCCACAGGUAUCUCUUUUCCUCCCACUGGAGCAUAACGCUUUAAAGUCUCACUGUAAAGUCUUACUGUCUUGUCUUACUGUUUAAGUUCUCCUUAGAUUUUUGAUGGUGGGUGUCUCUUUGUCCUUCUUGUUUGUGUUUAAAUUUUUCUGUGUAUUUCACUAUAAUAGUUCCAGAAAUUUCCAUGAAAAAAAUUACACUGUAAGGGACAAAAAAAAAUUACGGAACAAAAAAAUUACACUGUACUCUACUUACGCUGUAGGGAACCUGCUUUGGCAGGGGGGUUGGACACAAUGAUCUCUGGAUGUCCCUUCCAACCCCUACAAUUCUGUGAUUCUGUGAUACACUGGGCUGAUACAAUUUGUACAUGGUUGCGCUUAUUGACAAGUAAAACCUGAUUUCUUGCAAGCUUUUCAAACUGAAAGAGCAAUUGCUUCAUCUGUUUAAAGUAAUGGGCAUGUUAUUUGUUGUUUGGGUGUAACUUAACUCAUGCAAACACUGAACUUUUAGCACAGCAGUGGAUUAUACGUAGGGUGUAGUAAUCCUUUCCCCCUUCAGAGAGAGACAGGAAGAUAUAUUUGGGAAUCCGAAGAAUAAAUUCUGUGACAUAGGAAUGUGUGGUUACUUGUGCUUGAUGUGACAUAGCAAAAGCAGUUGAAGCAGACAACUGUUUCCAAUAAAAAUUGCUAUUUUGUGUGAUAAUAUUUCCUAAGAGGGCAUUGAUUUCCUCUAUCAAAAGCUGCAAAUAAAUGGGUUGCAAAUGUCUUUGACAAUAUGUAAGUAAUUAAUAUUUGCUGUGGUGAAAUAUAAGCAAUAUUAGAGGUGUAUGUAUUAGGCCAUCUGAACGGGGAAAAAGCAAAGGCUGAGUCCAAAAUACAACCGAGGUGGGGAAUGAGAGCCAGAGACAGUGGGAACAGGAAGUCUGAUGGUGUUUGUUAGAGGCUAUCUGGUCUUUGUGGCAUGUAAAGCUGCCAGCUGCCAGUUCCACCUGGCAGAUAGAAUUAAAUGCCUUCUUCUAGGCAGCAGUAGCAGUAACUUCCAACAAGUUGGGUAUCUUGUAGGUGUGGUGGCCAUGGUUGUGUUUCCUCUAGAUAACGAAGAAAGACUUUGCUGUAAAAGUACACCGUCAUCCUCAAUGAAAAGUCUUCUGUUUCACAGGUGCAUAGUAUCAGUUGUACUGAAAGUUUUUUAUUCACUAUUAGUAAUUCUUGUUACACCGUAUGUGGCCCUUUAUGCUGUUUGAUGGUGUGAAUUCCUUUUGAGGGAGCCCAUCUUCUUGUGUGUUUGUAUAGUUCUUAGCUUCUACAGAAAUACCAAUGAGAAACAACUCAGUGGAGUAAUGGCAGAAUCUGGCCUGUGGCAUUGAUUAUCUUCUUCCUACAUGAAAUUUGUUAGUGUAGCUCCCGUAGUGGCUCUAUGUGGCUCUAUGAUUGUGUCACAAAGAGUUGAAUCAUGCCAGCUCUAACCGGUAAACCUUACUGAUUUAUAUCUGUGAAGUCUCUGGCCAUAAGCUUGUAGCCUUCAAGUCAUGUUAGCUGUUUUGGAACGUACUCUCCUGUGGAAUCUUACAAGAAAACUGCCAUUAAAUCUUCCUUUAGUGUAAAAAUGUCAAUUUUCUAUUAUGCUUUUUCGUCAAAGUUUUUGUUUGUUUCUUUAAUGCAAAUUCAGUUACCUGUUCAUAGUAGAAUUUCCACUGACUUCUGUUUGGGAAGUCAAGCUUUAGAUUUCUGAUAUUAGCUAAUAAGUUGCUGUACAAUCUGUGCCAUUAUCUGUUACUGGUAGGUGGAAGGCAAUGCUGUAAAAACCCAAUUACGCUGCUCUGUGAGAUUUAAAUGCAGAUAUGCAGGAAGAUGGUAAUAUGAACCUACAACACCUAUCACAAAACAUCAACUGAACUAGUCAAGUGUUAAGUCUGAUGCUGAAAAGAAGAUAUCUUAUUUCAAGAACUUGUUUAUUUUACUCAUGACUGGGUAAUAAAAUGACAUGAAUGGUAAUUCAGAAAAACAGCCCUGUGAACCUUUAAUACUGGGUAUGCUUGUACAAUUGGAGCUAUAUAAUUUUUUAAUGUAAACAUAUUUGGACUUUGGCAUGAAACGGGGUGGAUGAGGAAGCCAUGAAAGAGUAGGCAAGGAAGGGCAAUGAGAGCAGAAUUAGGGAAUUUUAUUUGCUGCAGUUAAGGGGAUGAAUAUGAACUGACUAGUUCAAUUUGCUCAAACCCAUGUCAACUCCAAAUAUGUUUUGCUAAAUGGUUUUAAUUGUUCAUAAUUACAUUUUUAUAAAGUUUGAUA